UCUCGUUCACAUUAUUGUGAUAAAUGUUACAAUAUUUUGUGAUAAAAAAAUAGAAUUUUUUUUAUUACAAUAAAUUAUGAUAAUAUUAUUCUAAGUAUAUACUGUAAUCGCUCCCUACAAAAUAUGCUUAUGAAAAAGUUUAAGUACUGAGAACAUAUUACAAAGUGAAACAUGUUUCACACUUUAUAACUACUGUUGCAAGUUUCAAACGUAAGAUAUGAAUGAUGCCUAUAGCUAUUGUAUGUCAAUUAUCAAAUCACAACAUCUGAUAGAUUUGAAAACUGUUUUAGCAUCAGCAUGUCCACCACCCUUGUUAGAUUAGAGGUUCCGCUAUUACAUCGUUAUCCCUCCUUAUUAUUAUUAUUAUUAUAAAACUAUUACAAUGUAAUACGUAGGACCUAUUUCUUUUUCUCAUUAAUUUUUUUUGAAUUAUAAAAAAUAAAUUUUAUUAGAUAAACAAGAUAAUUACAAAUAAGAAAGGCUAUUGUAGCAAUACAACAUCAUUAUCAAAAAAGCACAUUCCAAUUAUGUUGGCACUUACUCUUAUCCCAACUAUUUUUUUUUUCAUUAUUUCUUACUGGCAAAUUUUGAAAAACAAAAGCAAAUGAGCAGUGCUGGCCUGAGGCAAGAGUUCGGAUCCUCAACUGUGAAUCUUGGUGGAGUGUUUAUAAAGUAUGAUCAUAAUGACGUCGUUUUGAUAAAAAAAUUGUGACCGUAAAAAUGACGUUGUUUUGAUUCAUAAUUUUAUUCCUGCAUAAACCAAAUCGAUGUCGUUUUUAUGGUUCACAAUUUUUUUACCAAAACGACUUCGUUUUUAUCGCACUUUAGGAAUACUCAUGAACCCAAACGACGUCGUUUUUAUGGUUCAUAAUUUUUUUAUUAAAACAACGUUAUUUUAAUUAUACUUUAGGCACUAAGAUUCAUUGUAGAGGAUCCGAACUCCUGAGGGCAAGGCAACCGUGACCGGACCCAAGUUUUAAUAAAAAAAAUAGGGCCCCUCUUCAGGUUGAGCUACAAUAUAUAUAAAUAUAAAAAAAGAUAAUUUAUAUUGGCACACAAAGUACCUCUGACGUUUGAAAAAUGACAGUGACUUAUCCUGAGAUUUAAAAUUUAUAACAGAUUCUUCUUAUUUUACACUAAUCACCCCUGAGUUCCGGGUUAGUACAAAAAGCACCCCUGACGUCAAUCGUUCGUUAGCAAGAUUGACUGUCUAUCAAUGACGUCAACUGAAUAGUGGUUGGAAUACCAUAUAUGACCCUUUUUUUGACAAAGUUACUACAUACCCCACAAUAAUGUUGAUUAAAUGAUCAAAAAAUAAUAAUAUUUUAGACAUAGCGUAUUUAAUUUAAGUAAAUGGAUAACACGUGAUCGAUUUUCAUCACUAUUUUAAAUAAAUUAAUAAUAAAAAUAAUAUAAAUAAUAUAAUUAAAUAGUUAAUAUAUCAAUAUAAUUUACGAGGUUUUUGUUACAUUCAUCAAUAAUACCACUUCUCACUCCUGCAUUUUUAAUCACAGAGAGAGUCUCAAUAUGGAACUGUACAAGUCAACGAAUACGACCUUUCUUGCUUGACUAAGAAAAAACUGGUACAUGUGUGUCCAAAUUCUAACUACCACCAAAGCCUUUCUACAUGAUCACUACUCACUAGCAUAUACUCUCUAUAUUCACAAAUUUAAUUAAUUUUCAAAAAAAAAAACUUUAAUUAUACAAUUGAUUUGGGUAUUUAAAUGCAAAAAAUGAAUAAAUUAUUAUUCGGUUUUACUGUAUCAUUAAGGACGCUUGUCUCGUCCACAUUAUUGUGAUAAAUAUUACAAUAUUUUGCGGUAAAAAAAAAAGAUUUGUUACGAUAAAUUAUGAUAAUAUUAUACUGAAACGUACCAUAUGCACUAUUUUUUACAAUAUGUACUAUAAUCACUCCCUACAAAAUAUGCGUAUACAAAAUUUCAAGUACUGAAAAACAUAUUCCACACUUUGUAGCUAUUGUUGCAAGUUUCAAACUAAAGAUAUGAAGAUGCCUACAUAUUGUAUUGUCUAUUUUCAAAUCACGAACAUCCAUGAGAGAUUUGAAACUUUUUAGCAUCAUCAUGUAACCACCACCACUUGGGAGAUUAGAGGUCCCUAUUACAUUGGUUAUCCCUCCUUAUUAUUAUUAUUAUAAGACUAUUUACAAUGAUUGUUUGAACGGGGUUUGUUUUGUUAGACUUUCUAUUUAAUGUAGUUGGUUGUCCAAUUUGAUCAUUGAUGGGAUUUUGGAUACUUCUCAAUUUUCUCUUACCAUUUGAAAAAGAAAUUAAAAAAAUCAACCAACACUUUGGAUGAGCUCUCACAUAUUAAGUUGCGUGCUCAUCUUGGAUUUGUGAAUGAUUUAUAAACAAAAAACAAAAGGGGUAAAAAAGACAAAGAAAAUGUAAUACGUAGAACCUAUUUCUUUUUCUCGUUAUUUUUUUUUGAAUGACAAAAAAUAAAUUUUAUUAAAUAAACAAGAUAAUUACAAAUAAGAAGA
rnacentral:lncRNA from 1 species